rnacentral:rRNA from 1 species
UGGGGAAUAUUGGACAAUGGGGGCAACCCUGAUGCAGCGACGCCGCGUGAGCGAUGAAGCCCUUCGGGGCGUAAAGCUCUUUCGACCGGAACGAUAAUGACGGUACCGGGAGAAGAAGCUGCGGCUAACUACGUGCCAGCAGCCGCGGUAAUACGGAGGGUGCAAGCGUUAUCCGGAUUCACUGGGUUUAAAGGGUGCGUAGGUGGGCAGAUAAGUCAGUGGUGAAAUCUUCCGGCUUAACCGGGAAACUGCCGUUGAUACUAUUUGUCUUGAAUAUUGCGGAGGUAAGCGGAAUAUGUCAUGUAGCGGUGAAAUGCUUAGAUAUGACAUAGAACACCAAUUGCGAAGGCAGCUUACUACACAAUCAUUGACACUGAGGCACGAAAGCGUGGGUAGCGAACA